AGCGAAUCUGAGGGAGCUUGCUCCCAAAGAUUAGCGGCGGACGGGUGAGUAACACGUGGGCAACCUGCCUGUAAGACUGGGAUAACUUCGGGAAACCGGAGCUAAUACCGGAUAAUCCCUUUCCUCACAUGAGGAAAGGCUGAAAGAUGGUUUCGGCUGUCACUUACAGAUGGGCCCGCGGCGCAUUAGCUAGUUGGUGAGGUAACGGCUCACCAAGGCCACGAUGCGUAGCCGACCUGAGAGGGUGAUCGGCCACACUGGGACUGAGACACGGCCCAGACUCCUACGGGAGGCAGCAGUAGGGAAUCUUCCGCAAUGGACGAAAGUCUGACGGAGCAACGCCGCGUGAGUGAUGAAGGUUUUCGGAUCGUAAAACUCUGUUGUUAGGGAAGAACAAGUAUCGGAGUAACUGCCGGUACCUUGACGGUACCUAACCAGAAAGCCACGGCUAACUACGUGCCAGCAGCCGCGGUAAUACGUAGGUGGCAAGCGUUGUCCGGAUUUAUUGGGCGUAAAGCGAGCGCAGGCGGAAAGAUAAGUCAGAUGUGAAAAGCCCUCGGCUU
rnacentral:rRNA from 1 species